rnacentral:lncRNA from 1 species
ACCGCAUGGAUUUCACAUCUCAAACUCCUUCGAGUCAAACUCAAAGACUUCAGUUUGAUCCGUAAAUUUGAAUAUAUAUGGACUGUCUAACUGAAUCUUCUUCGGUUUGAUUCAAAGAGUUUCUAAUUUGAAAUCAAAGAACGUGUUCAAAACCGAAACUCCUAGAAGGCAAUUAAAGAACAUUUAUAAAAAGGUAUGUCUGUGCAGAAAUUCUUUGUGCAUGUUCAUGGAGUCCGUUCUUUAAUCUGUUCCCUACAUGUGCAUCAGCUUAAUCUUUUGUAAUUUAAUGCAAUCACCAAUUGCUAGAAAAAGUUAAAACACAUGACAAUGUGUGAUUGACUUAGAAUAACGCCAUUAUGAUUCUAAGCAUGGAUAAGUUUCUUUCCUUCACAGCCAAGGCAUAUAAAGUGCAUGACGUUAUAGCUAAUUUACCUGAAUUGAUCUGUAUAAGGAAGGUUGGAGUUGAUAGAAUCGGGAGGCAAAUAAACAAACAUGGAGAGCCAUGGCCGCUCUGGCUCUUUAAGCUUCAAAUGCCUUUUCGCAAUGGAAACCACCACGACCUGUG